GCCCAGAUAGCUCAGAUGGUAAAGCAUCAGACUUUUAAUCUGAGGGUCCUGGGUUCAAGUCCCUCUUUGGGUG
rfam:Ornithorhynchus anatinus chromosome 3, whole genome shotgun sequence.